GAUGAACGCUGGCGGCGUGCCUAAUACAUGCCGGUCGAGCGAACGGACGAGAAGCUUGCUUCUCUGAUGUUAGCGGCGGACGGGUGAGUAACACGUGGAUAACCUACCUAUAAGACUGGGAUAACUUCGGGAAACCGGAGCUAAUACCGGAUAAUAUUUUGAACCGCAUGGUUCAAAAGUGAAAGACGGUCUUGCUGUCACUUAUAGAUGGAUCCGCGCUGCAUUAGCUAGUUGGUAAGGUAACGGCUUACCAAGGCAACGAUGCAUAGCCGACCUGAGAGGGUGAUCGGCCACACUGGAACUGAGACACGGUCCAGACUCCUACGGGAGGCAGCAGUAGGGAAUCUUCCGCAAUGGGCGAAAGCCUGACGGAGCAACGCCGCGUGAGUGAUGAAGGUCUUCGGAUCGUAAAACUCUGUUAUUAGGGAAGAACAUAUGUGUAAGUAACUGUGCACAUCUUGGCGGUACCUAAUCAGAAAGCCACGGCUAACUACGUG
rnacentral:rRNA from 1 species